rnacentral:lncRNA from 1 species
CAAUUUUGUCUGCAAGCUUCCUUUGAAAGAGAAGGGCAGGUCGCAUUAGUUAAACGUAUAUGACAAUGUGACAAUCUCGCAAAAUUAAUAGUGAUACAGGUGAAAACCAUAACCGUUCUUCAAAACAACAACUUCUGGUGUUGGAAACUAGAAGGGCCCGACCAACUAUCAUUUACAAUUGUACAGAGCUGACACUAAAAAAUGGAAAUGAGAAGAGAAGGGCAGGUGGCAUUAGUUAAACGUAUAUGACAAUCUUACGAAGUUAAUAGUGAUACAGGUGAAAACCACAACUGUUCUUCAAAACAAGAACUUCUGGUGUUGGAAACUAGAAGGACCAACUAUCAUACCUUGAAAGCGUCACGAAAAGGGCAUCAGAACGGGUAUUUGAUAUAAAAUCCGAUUCAAAAUGUAGUUACAUUAGACCUAUUAUAGCCUUUUUUUUUUCCCUUGAAGAUUAAUGUAACUUUGAGUAUUUAAUUUCAAAAGUGUUCUCCAAGUCAUCCAAGAAAACGCGACUUGAAGAACUUAUCUGCCAAGCUAUUCAAAACAAAUGAAUUAGCUGUAGAAAACAGAUGUGGGAAUGAGUCAUACCUAGCCUUUGGAGCUUCAUACCUUGCAUUGCCAAACAAAAUGUAACAUUAACAAGUGGUUUUCUGAUAGAACAGCAAUGCAAUCAACUGUAUAGCAGAGACAUGGUUUGAAGGAUCGAAUAUCAAUUACGCUAUUCGAAUUCCCAAUUGGAAGCAAACUGGGAAAGAAAGAACAACAAUCAUGCAAAAACAGAAGAAAGAAAGAAAGAACAGAAAUUGGGGAACAAGUAAAUAGUUGAUCAAUUAAUCAAACAAAUGCACAGAGCCAAAAGGAAAAGGAAAAUGUCAAAACUGAUUCCUCCAUCAAUUAAUCUAACAUAUGCAACAGUGUCAGAGAUUUUAGAGAGACACUCAGCAGCCCAUUACUAACACACCGUAACACAGAUAGUAAGAUAGACAAGACCUCGAUAUAAUUAGAUAUACAACCACAUAUAUAUAUAUAUAUAUAUAGGUUACAUUAAUUUUGUCAAUUUUCCGACGUGAGAUUCUUGCACCCAUUAAUUCACACAAGCUAAAAACCAGAAGCCAUUAAGCUCACAAACUCAAAUCAUAAACUGAACAAAAAACGCAAACUUUAGAAACAAGUAAAAAAAGAAAGACUUUUGGAGUGGUGGGUAAAGUACCAAAAGCGUCAUGGACGAGAAGAACUGAAAGCCUGGAGUCAGGGGAGCCAGUGACAUAGGAAUCGAAACCGCCGAGCUUUUCGACGUGGCCGGAGCCGCUGGACGGGUUCAGGGCUGGUGGGUUUGAGCAGCACUCAGAGCUUGCCAUGAUUUCUUUCUUUUUUUCUUUCCCUGAAUUCACAAACACCAACACACUCAGUCAGUGUUUGAUUGAGCUACGACAGCAGAUGCUAUAUUUAUAGGGGGGAAAUUCUUUACUGGUAAAAUAGAUUUAUCGGAAUUUGAUAUUGGGUACUUAAUCCUUUAUUCAAUUCUUUAUUUUUUAAAUGACGAAAGGAAUGACUUAUUUUUUAGAUGACGGAAGGAAUGACCUAAGCCGCAGUCCAAGACUCCAAGUCCAUGGCACUCCACCGAGACACUCGACUGAGUAUUGUUCAUGUUGACGAGUUACUCGCAUCCCGCAACUAUCCAAAAAAUAUUUCUCUCGUAUUACAGAAAAUCGCUUAAUGUGCGGUUCUAUUCUGAUAAGUGGUUUAAAAUAACAAAAAAAAUUUACUUUAUGAAGCACUAAUCAACAUCAUCAAAUGUCUGAGCAUGAAUUAUACCACUCAGCAAAUUCCAAACCUUAAAGAACCACGCUGUUCUCAAACCUCUACUCUUCCAAGCGACAAAUUUUACACACAAAUAUUGGCACAUAAAAUUGCAGACAGUGUUCUGAUUCAUAGUAAAUAGAAUGCAGUUGGGACGAUAAGGUUCAAAUUAUUCUUGUCCUUCACUGAAAAUAGAACGCUUCACAGUAAUGACGAUACCAUUCACUUGACAUGGUUCAAGAACCACUCCAACAAGUCUUGAUGAGCCUCCUCGGCAGCCUUACAAGCUGCUUCAUCUUCAUCGUUGUACCUAGUGGUCCACCCGUGUUCCACUUUUGGAAAUAUCUUCACACGGCUUUUGAUCUGUGAUUCCAUAAACCAAACUGUCAUUCCAAAUACAUAAACGCGAAACAUUGAAGAAAUAGAGCCACAUUAAGAAGGCAGAAUAUCUAAGCAUAAUAUAUAAGCCCUUGAACACCUUUGGUUUUGUAAGGGCAAGUUCGACCUAUAAUCCGUGACAUAUUUCUACCAAUAACCCAUGACAGAAUGAGAACGACUAAACCCGAAGUCAUCUCAAGGGCUAUAAGGAUGUCCAUGAUUAAAAUCAACAACUACAUUGAAAUCAUUGAAAAGUGUUUGGAUCAAGAUAUUUCCUACCUCAGGUUUUGCAGCUAAAGCCUCCUCAAAUUGUUUCACGACUUCAGGUGGAGACAUAUUAUCAAUCUCAGCGCCAAGUAUUUGAGUGGGAACCUUAACCGCUGCAAUUUAGUUCCAGGAAUAAAUCAAUAAACUCAGGCCGAACAGAUUUUAUUUUUCUAUUUACACUUUCUUAGCGUAAAUGAUAGAAAACUUAGUGUUCGUUUAAAUUGACACCUACACUACUUAGCUAAAUAUUUCUUGAAAUUAAACAGUGAAAUCGUACCCUUGAUAUCAUCCAGAGUGACAAAUGAAGGAUGACACAUAGCAGCAGCUUGGAUAAAGUCAUGCUUUGAAAGUUCAACCACAACCUUGGCUGAAAACAGCACAAAUGAUUUAAUGUCAAAGGAAGCAUCCCAUCGGUUGAACUAAUAAAUUAAGGAUGAAAAGCAAUACGAAAAGAAACAAAAAUUGUAGAAAGACAGGACAUUCUUUUAACCUGAAAAAUGAACUAAUAAAUUAUAGAAUAAAGAGAAGAAUCCACAAGAAGGGGAAAAUGAGCUCACCCCCAUAACAGAAUCCUACAGCACCAACUGCAGAAAUACCUUUACUUUUUAAAGCUUCAAGUAUUGGUUUUGCAUCUUCUAAUGCUUUGUCCUGUUUAGAAGCGUAACAUUUUAACAAUACUUGCACAAUCAACAGUUUGGAUAUAAAACACCACAAAAUCAGGUAUUUUUUCGUGUCAGAGGUGGAAACGAUCAUAUAAACUUUAAAAACAACAACAAUAAUUGGACCUCCAAGCUGAAGCUACAUGCAUCUUCAACUUAAAACAGCCCCAAAACGAGAAUACACAAUAAGUAUCUUAACAUUUUAUGUGAAUUUAAGAAUCACAAAGGGAUACUUGUAAAAGUAUUUCAAUUAUAAAUCAGUCAACAAUUUCUUGAUCUCUGCAUGAUAAGAGAACCAACCGUUCCAUGAUGUUUUAUCCAGCCAGGGAAAGCGGCAAAUCCCUCCUCUCCAAGUACAAAAGGGUCUCCGUAAAAGAAGUCAGGGAUCACAACAAAAAAACCACCAGCUGCAAGUUUGUCUGCCAGCUUCCUUCAAAACAGUAGGUGGCAUUAGGUGAAGGGUACAUAAGAUUAUGAGAACACGCAAAUGAUAUAGUGAUUGAUCAAGUGAAUAACACAACUGUGCUUCGAAAUAUUUUUUUUAAUGAUGUUGGAAACUAGAAGGAUAAACUAUCCCAGUCUAUCUUUCUAGAUCGCAUAGACUCGGAUCAAAAUACAGGAGGUGAUCUUCUCAGCAUAAGGAAAUACCAUUUUCAAAAGUAGGGAGCUCGACAGUUGCUACGUCCGAUAUAUGAUCUUAAACUAAUGGUUGUAACUACUUGAAAAUUUAGUUGCAUGUAACCUAUUACAAUCUUUCUCAUUCUUUCCCUUAACGACAAGUAUUUAUUUCAAAGUGUCCACCAAGACAUCAAGCAGGUUUAAAUUCACGAAAAUUGCAAUUCAGAGAACCAAUCCAUCACAUCGUGCAACAAAAAUAAAGGAGCUGUAGCAAAACGGAUAUGCAACAAGUCAUACCUCAAGUUUGGAGCAUCGUAUCCUGCACAGAACAAUAAACAUGUUAAAUUAACAGUGAUGUGCUGAUACAACGUCAUAGACUCAUACGAAGCAAUUUUACAGUACUGAUCGGGGAAGGAACAGAAACAGGAGAAAGAAACACACUAAAAGGCAAACAAACUAUGCUCUGAUAUGACAUACAGUUACAAAGAUCCUCCUUGUUAUGACUGAGGCUAGAUACAUAUUUAUAGCACCUAUUAAAAUUUUCUUCCAAACUAUGAUAUUUUCUGCUGAGCGGGGUAUUUCGGCCAAACUAUACAAUAGGCCCGCCAUAAUAGUUAAGUAUCGACCUCAGUCAAGUAAUAUUGCUAGACUGUAGUAUCAGUGACAUAACACGAAUUAACAGAAACGCCCUAAAAAUAUAUACCCUUUAAACAAGAAUCACGUACAGACCAAUCAAAACACGAUAAAGAAACUAAACCCAUGCCAUAAAAUGGAAAAAAAAAAUUGCAGAAAAUACUGAACCAAAUUAAAAAGCAGAGAUUUUUGAAGUGGUGGGAGUUGGGAAAGUACCAAAAACAUCAGAGACGAGAAGAACGGCGACCUUGGAGUCCGGGGAGCCGACCAGAUAGGUGUCGAGACCGCCUAACUUCUCAACGUGGCCGGAGCCACUCGAUGGGUUCAGGGUUGGUGGGUGGGAGCAGCACUGAGGGCCUGACAUUUUUGUUUUUGUUUUUGUGGUUCUCUGAAACAAACAGUCUGCUAAUCUAAUCUGGCCAAAUGGUUUAUAGGGUGGUUAGGGACAGGGACCUGGUUUGUCUGCCCUCUCCCAUCCCAUUCACUCUUAUUUAUGUGGUCACAGUUAAGCCACGUCAACAAAGAGUUGAAUUGACUCGUUGGUUGAUUAGAAAGAAAGGUUAGGAUUUAGGGAGGAAGAGGAAACCUAAUCUUAUAUUCUCACCUGUUGUAGUAGGCCUAUUUGAUUGAACUAAUAUAAGGGAUUAGAGAGAGAGUGGGCCGGUGGUAGCUAGAGAAAAGAGAUAGUGAUUUAAUUGUGAGGUGUGUUUGUAUCAAACUAUUGUGCUUUUAUUUAUUUAUAGUAUUAGGAUAGAAAAAACCUUACCUUUUUAGAAUUACAACUUCAAAUAGGUCAUAAUAGGAAUAUAAGAGAUAUUCAUAAAUUCACCAGGAUUUACACAAUCACAUCUCUAUUCUAAAUAUGACUCACCCAUAUUUUAAUACUAAUUUUUAUCCUUUGUAAGAUUAUAUCUUAUAUACUAAAACUCAAACAGGGUGGGUACUGUGGAUGACCAGUGGGCGGACUGUGAGAGGAGGGUUGAGGGUCUGCCACGUGGCAGGCAAUGAGAGGAGGAGAAGUUUAGAAAAUCUGAAAAGGGGAUUCUAAUUGGAUGAGAGUAGGGGACCAAAAUGCAAAUUUCAUAAAACUCUAGGGGAAAAUUAUGAAAUUACAAUUAUUUGGGGGUGGGGUUUAACAUGUGAUUUGAAAUACAUGUUGGAUUGUUUGUGAAAUGCAAGGGCUAGUAGUGGAUCGUUAACCCAUUGUCAUGAGAUUUUGUUUGCUUCGAUAUUGUUUCAUUUCUCGCUUCGUUGACCUGUUCUAAAUUUAGUACUUGGUUUUGUUUCAUUUCGUUAAGCGUUUGUAAAUUGAGCACUUGAUUCAUGUUUUGUUUCUUUGAGCCGUUGUUAUGUUCUUGGACUUCCGUUCGGUUCCGUUGAGUCCGAAACUAGGUUCCACAGGGUUCCGUUGAGUGGUCCGGUUCCUUGCUCCGUCUAGAUUCCGUUGAGUGGUCUGGAAUUGUAUCCACUCGAAUUCCUUUGAAAGGUCCGGAAUCCCUUCUACUCUGCUAUUCCGUUGAGAGGUCCGGAAUCCCUUCUACUCUGCUAUUCCGUUGAGUGGUCCGGAAUCGUAUCUUGGUUUGGAUUAUGUUGAGUGGUCCAUAAUCCCAUUUGGUAUUUUGGUUCCGUUGAGUAGUCCAGAACCCGAUAUUGUUGGAUUUUGUUGAGUGGUCACAUUCUUCAAAGAUGUAGGAUUCAGUCGAACUGUGUCGCUCUAGCCUUACAUUUUGGUGUAUUGUAUGUGUUAUUGAUUGAUGUGAUUGUAGAAUGGUGUUGGAAAACACACGUGUGUGUGAAUGGCAUGAUGACAACACUUGUUGGGCUUAUGAUUGAUGUGUAGUGUGAUACUCUAUGUUUUUUGCUAGGAAGUAUUUUACGAAAAGUUUAGAGUUUAACAAAUAGUGAACUACAAAUGGCUUGAUUCCUAUUUAGGGUACGCACGCAGUCUAACGAGAAGGUUAGAUGCAGCCAAUCUGAAUCAUGAGUUGUGCUUUGUCCAUAUCUCGGAGACUGAGUAUGUUAGAUAUACGGGUAUUUAGUGACGUCACGUGUUGAUCUUAGACAUACGUUGGGAUCGGGGCGUGACAAAAUGUAACAUGAACAAGUAGUUUGCUGAUAGAAUACCAGCAAGCAACUGUAUAGUAGAGACAUGGUUUGAAGGAUCGAAUAUCAAUUACGCCUAUUCGAAUUCCCAAUUGGAAGCAAACUGGGAAAGAAAGAACAUCAAUCAUGCAAAAGCAGAAGAAAGAAAGAACAGAAAUUGGGGAACAAGUAAAUAGUUGAUCAAUUAAUCAAACAUAAGCACAGCACCCACAAAGUCAAAAGGAAAACGAAAAUGUCAAAACAGAUUCCUCCAUCAAUUAAUCAAACAUAUGUAGAGUGUUAAAGAUUUUAGAAAGACGAGUCAGCAGUUCGUUGCUGACAUACCGUAAAAGAGAUAGUAAGAUACAUACGACCUCGAUAUAAUUAGAAGUAAAACCCCUCAACAUAUGUAGGUUAGAUUAAUUUUAUCAAUUAUCCGACGUGCAAUUCUUGCACCCAUUAAUUCACACAAGCUAAAAACCAGUACCCAUUAAGCUAAAACACACACACACAACUCAAACUCACAAACUCAAAUCAUAAACUGAACAAAAAACACAAAUUUUUGAAACAAGUUAAAAAAAAAAGACUUUUGGAGUGGUGGGUAAAGUACCAAAAGCGUCAUGGACGAUAAGAACUGAAAGCUUGGAGUCAGGGAGCCAGCGACCUAGGAAUCGAACCGGCCCAGCUUUUUGACAUGGCCGGAACCGCUGGACGGGUUCACGGCUGGUGGGUUUAAGCAGCAUUCUGAGCUUGCCAUGAUUUCUCUCUUCUUCUUCUUUUUCUCUGAAUUCACAAACACAAACGCUCUUUGUCAGUGUUUGAUUGAGCUAGCACAGCUUUAUAAAUGGGAAAUAAUUCUCUGGUACGUAAAAAAUUUGGAAAUUUGUUCAUGGUCAGCAGAUUCAUCGGAAUUCGAUAUUUGUUAAUUUAUUCAAUUCUUUAUUUUUGAGUUGACGGGAUGAAUGACCUAAGCCUGAAGUUCAGGAGAAUAACUAAUAACCGCAGUCCAAGACUCCAAGGCCAUGACAGUGACACUCCAAAAGGGCCAUGGAUCCCUCCGGAUCCAUUGGUCCUAAUCUGCAACUCUCGUAAUUUGGAUUAUUAAAAUUUGAUCCAAAUGUUAUAAAUAUGAAUUCAUUUUAAAAAUUAUAAUAAUUUUUAUCUGUUAAAUUAAUUUUUAAUUAUCCGGAUUACAAAAUUUAAUGAAUUAGGACCAAUGGAUCCGGAGAGGAUCCAUGUCAUGUCCCUCCAAAAGCAGUACAACAAGAAAGUUGACUGACUUGUGCGAAUUAAACAGUUACUCACAUUCCGCAAUUAUCCAGAAAAUCUCUUGUAUUACAUAAAAUAGUUUAAUGUGUGGUUUUGUUCCGAUAAUUGGCUUAAAAUAACAAAAUUUAUUUAUUUUAUGAUGCACUAAUCCACAUCAUCACACGUCUGAACAAGAAUUAUACCACUAACCAAAUUCCAAACUUUAAAGCACCAUAUUAUUCUCAAACCUCUAGCCUUCCAAGCGACAAAUUUUACACACAUAUUUGCACAUAAAAAUGCGGGCAUUACUGUGGUCCAUAGUUAAUAGGGAAAAUUUUUAGUUGUGACCGGAAUACGAAUGGUACACCAUGUGUUUUUAUGUAAAUGGUGGAAAAUUUUAAUUUUUAAGCUAUUAACCUUUUAACACACAUAUCCAACCACUUACAUAAAGACAUGUGAUAUACCGCCUUGUGUGACGGUCAUAUUGAAAAAUCUCUCAGUAAAUAGGAUGCAGUUGAUACGAUACGAUAGGGUUCAAAUUAUUCUAAUAUAUCAGAAAAAGCCUCUUCACAGUAAAGAAGGUUCAAGAACCACUCCAUCAAAUCUUCAUAAGCCUCCUUGGCAGCCUUACAAGCUGCUUCAUCUUCAACGUUGUACCUGGUGGUUCACCCGUGUUCCACUUUCGGGAAUAUCUUCACUUGGCUUGUAAUCUGUGGUUCCAUAAAACCAAGAGUCAUUCCAAAUACAUAACGCGAAACAUUGAAGAAACAGAGCCACGUUAAGAAGGUAGAAUGUCUAAGACCUUUGGUUUUGUAAGGGCAAGUUCGACCUAUAAUUCGUGACGUAGUUCUACCAAUAACCCAUGACAGAAUGAGAACGACUAAACCCGAAGUCAUCUCAAGGGUUAUAGGGAUGUCCAUGACUAAAAUCAACAAAUACAUUGAAAUCAUUGAAGAGUCUUUCGGUCAAGAUAUUUCCUAGUUCCUACCUCAGACUUUGCAGCUAAAGCCUCCUCAAAUUGUUUCACGAGUUCAGGUGGAGACGUACCAUCAAUCUCAGCUCCAAGUAUUUGAGUGGGAACCUUAACCGCUGCAAUUUAGUUCCACGAAUAUAUCAAUAAACUCAGACCGAACUGGUUUUAUUUUUCUAUUUACACACUUAGAAAACUUAGGUAUGUGUUCGUCUAAAUUAACACCUACACUAAGUAUUUCUUGAAUAUUAAAUAGUGAAAUCUUACCCAUGAUAUCAUCCAGAGUGACAAAUGAAGGAUGACACAAAGAAGCAGCUUUGAUAUAGUCAUGCUUUGAAAGUUCAACCACAACCUUGGCUGAAAACAGCACAAAUGAUUCAAUGUCAACCGAAACAUUUUCCCAUAGGUUGAAGUUGAACUAAUAAAUUAAGGAUGAACAAUCCGAAAAGAAGAAAAAAAAUUGUAGAAACAUGAGACGUUCUAUUAAACUGAAACCGGAACAUAAAUUAUUGAGUAAAGAGAAGAAUCCACCAGAAAGGGAAAAUGAGCUCAACCCCAUAACAGAAUCCUACAGCACCAACUUUAGAAGCACCUUUACUUCUUAAAGCUUCAAGUACUGGUUUUGCAUCUUCGAAUGCUUUGUCCUGUUUAGAAGAGCGAAACAUUUCAACAAUACUUGCACAAUCAAGCUGAAGCCACACGCAUCUUCAAUUUAAAACUGCCCCAAAAAGAGAAUUUCACAAUAAGAAUCUUAAAACAUUUUAUAUGAACCAACCGGUGCAUGAUGUUUUAUCCAGCCAGGGAGAGCGGCAAAUCCGUCCUCUCCUAAUUCAAAAGGGUCUCCGUAAAAGAAGUCAGGGACCGCAAUAAAAAAGCCAGUAGCCGCAAGUUUGUCUGCAAGCUUCCUUCAAAACAGAAGGUAGGUGGCAUCAGUUGAAGGGUACAUAAUAUUAUGAAAACACGCACAUGAUAUAGUGAUUGAUCAAGUAAAUAACACAACUGUGAUCCGAAAAAAAAAAUGAUGAUGUUGGGAACUAAAAGGAUAAACUAUCCCAGUCUAUCUUUCUGGAUCGUAUAAACUCGGAUCAAGAGGCAAGAGAUGAUCUUCUAAGCAUAAGGAAAUACCAGUUUCAAAAGUAGGGAGCUCGAUAGUUGCUACGUCUAAUAUAUGAUCUUAAACUAAUGAUUGUAACAAUUUGAAAGUUUAGUUGCAUGUAAACCUAUUAUAAUCUUUCUGAUCCUUCCCUUAACGAUAAGUAAUUAUUUCAAAGUGUCCAUCAAGACAUCAAGCAGGUCCAAAAUCACGAAAAAUGCAAUUCAGUGAACUAAUCCAUCACACCCUGCAACACAAAUAAAGUAGCUGUAGUAAAACGGAUAUGCAACAAGUCAUACCUCAAGUUUGGAGCCUCAUAUCCUGCAUAGAACAAUAAACAUGUUAAAUUAACAGGUGGUGUGCUGAUACAACGUCAUAGACUCAUAGAAAACAAUUUUACAGAUCGAAAAUCAGUUAUUUCAACUGAACGGGGAAGGAACAGAAACAGAAACAUCCAAGGACCAAAAACAAAUGGAAGAAACACACAAAGGCAAACAAACUAUGCUCUGAUAUGACAUACAGUUCUAAAUAUCCUUCUUUUUUAUGACCCAAGUGAACAUUACUGAGGCUAGAUUAUCAUCAGUCAACCAAAACAUAUUUACAAUGAUAUUUUCCUCUUAGGGGCGGGGAAUUUGAGCUAAACUAAGCAAUAUCCCAGCCAUAAUCGUUCAAAAUAGUGAAGUAUUGAACUCGUCAUUAGUGACAUAGCACCAAUUAACAUAAACACCCUAAAAAUAUAUUACCCUUUAAACAAAAAAGUUAAAAACACACACAGACCAAUCAAAACACAGUAAAGAAACAUAAUCCAUGUCAUAAAAUGUGUUAGUACCAUAUUAUAUUGGGCCUCGUUACUUGGGCUUCCAGACAUUGAGCCCAUGAUUUAUGUAAAAGAGAAGGAGCCUUAGUCUAUAAAAGAGACUCCUUAAUGUGUUAGUACCAUAUUAUAUUGGGCCUCGUUAUUUGGGCUUCCAGACAUUGAGCCCAUGAUUUAUGUAAAAGGGGAGGAGCCCCCUAUAAAAUGGACUCUUCACCCUCACAAUCAGGAAGCUUCACAUCCCCAAAUAGAGGCUCUCAUGUUCAGAGCAUCAUUCUCUCAACUUUCUUCCCCUGUGAACCCAACAGAGGGCAAUACCAUCACAAACACAACAACACUUUUUAAUCCAUACAUACAGUUACAGAGGAAUACAAUCAACAUCAGUGUAGACGUAGCCCAAACAUUGGGGUGAACUACGAUACAUUUUGUGUUCUUUACAUUCUUGCAGAUUCACGGUCGAAUUUGCGUUGUUCCAAGACCCUCCGAUUUUGUGUAUCAACAAAAUGAACAAAAAAUUGCAGAAAAUACUGGACCAAAUUAAAAAGCAAAGAUUUUUGAAGUGGUGGGAGUUGGGAAAGUACCAAAAACAUCAGAGACAAAAAGAACGGCCAUCUUGGAGUCAGGGGAGCCGAUGAGAUAGGUGUCGAGACCGUCGAACUUCUCGACGAGGCCGGAGCCACUCGAUGGGUUCAGGGUUGGUGGGUGGGAGCAGCACUGAGGGCUUGACAUUUUGUUUGUACUUUUGUUUUUCUCUGAAGCAAACACACUCUCUGCUUUUCUGAUCAAAUGAUUUAUAAGGUGGUUAGGGACAGAUGGCUUGAGACUGAGAGUUGCGUAGUCGACAAGAAAUGAAGGUUUUGAUUUAGGGGAACUUUAUCUUAAUUUAUGUACAUUAAACAUUGACCUUCUUUCUUUUCAAUAAUUACGAUCUGAUUUAAUAUGAAUUAAACAAUGAACCUCUUUCAUUUCAAUAAUUACAAUCUGAAUUUACUCAAAUUUGGAGCGUGACAAUAAUUUUACGAGGAAAUGGGAGGAAUGGUCCUUUAACUAUCCUAGAAUUGUAGCUUUAGUCCUUAAAUUAAAAUAUUAUUAUAUUUGGUCCUUGAAAUGUGGAGCGUUAGUCCUUCAUUACCAAUUCCGUUAAGUUUUAGUUAAAAGUGUUUACAUGUUAGUUUCACCUAUAUAUAAUAGAAAAGAUGAAAAUUACAACAAAAAUUGGAGGCCUACCUCAUCCACCAACACUCACAGCCCACCCCUUCAACUUCAAUCUUUGAUACACUCCCCGCCAACCUCCCACUUCCAACCCCCAAUCGUUAAUCCCCACUCCCCAGCUGACCCCAACCUAUAGCCUACGAAGCACAACCUUCACCAAACCCUGAACCCGCAUCCCACAAAAUUCUUGAAUCUUACCUGUCGAAACAACGUGGAUGGAUGUCAUUGUGAAUUCGUUUACAAAGGGAGACGUGUUCGAAAUUUGGAUUAGAAACUUUCUUUUGUUUUGGUUGUUUGGAGAGUGCUACAAUGUCGUGGCUGCGGUUUGGAGGAGGCGAGGCAGAAGGGAAGACGGGAGAGAGAGAGAGAGUUAACUUUUAUAUUUUUAGUAUUUUUAUUUUGGAGAAAUUAGGUUAUCAUCAUUCUUUUUGCUACUUCACUGAUUAAAAUCUUAUUCAUUUUCAAUUUUUGAUCAAGGUCCUUGGUAUUAAUAACAUCAUUAAUAAUUUCAAUAAUAAAAUAUUUUUUUAUUUCUAAUAUAUUCAUUUAAUGUUAAAAAUGUUACAAUUAGUAUAUUUAUAUUUAUGACUAAAUUUUUUGUCAUAUAUUUUUAGUUUUAAUUUAUACCCAUUUUUAAUUUGUACCAAUUUUCUUUUUAGUUUUAAUUUGUACCCAUAUAUUAACUUCUUUUUGUGCCCUUAUUUUUUAAAGUUUAUUCGUAUUUGUACCCAUAUUUUUUUUAUUUGUACAUUUUAUUUUGCUAAUUGUACCCAUGCUAAUUAUAUGUACCCAUUCAUGUAAAACUUUUUAAUCUAAAAAUGUACUCAUUCUUAAAUAUAUCAAUUUGUUAUAUGUAAAAUGUACCUUUUUUUAUAUAAAAUGUAACAAUCCGUCCCAAAUCUUACGUUUUUACAAAAUUUAAAAGUGUGAUUUUACGAAAAUGCCUUUAGAUGCGAUGGUCUUGACAUCCGUUGACCAACGUAUAGCAAGGUGUAUGAAUUAAUACUUAGCGUUUUCUUGAAGUACUCGAUGUUACAGAAUUAUAAAACCGAGAAGUACUUUUGCUUAGUCGCUAUUCAUAUAUUUUAUACAUUUUUAUAAUGAUAUAUUUUGUUUAUCAUUUAGUGAUUUUAAAAAUAGUUGAAGAAGAAGAGGAAGAAGGGGGGGCAUGGGAAAGAGAACAGAGGGAAGGGCUGCUGCCCAAUCAGAGGAGAGGAAGAGAGAAGACUGCCCAAUUAGAAGUAGAAGCGAGGAGGGAAAUGAGGGAGAGUGGAGAGCGGGGGAAAAGGGGGGGGGGGGGAAACGGGUUCCCAACCCGUGACCCGUGUACACCCAGUCUAAUUUUCCAUAUUUUCCGAUGGUUUUCCAUCGGAUUUCUCACGAAAUUGGACCAAGAAACCAUUCCCAAUCAUCCCCUAGUCCUUUCCUCUUCCAUUCCCAAUCAAAUUUUAUAGGAUUUGAACUUGAAUUCGAGUAGAAUGAAACUGUGGGUUUCGAGGGUGCCAUGACAAAAUCCGAUGAUCAUGAAGGUAAUCCAGCAAAUUGCUACCACCACUAGACUCCCCUAGAACCCAGGAACAAAGCCCUCAGUGGUGGAGGCGUCGGAACACGUUUGAAGGUCGAAUCGAAGCACACCCAAUUCUAGGGUUCCGAUGGGUUUUGAUGAAAUUAGAGCCUUUCCAGGCCAAAUUUGCCUUGGUCACAGGUAUGAAAGUUGUUCUACUCAUUGAGAUCUUCAAAUCUAAAAAUUUUGGUAAGUUUUAGAGAUAGUUGAUUUUUCCGGUGAGUUGGGGCGGCCAACCGCCACCCACAGCGGCGCGUGCGGUGGCGUGUGGCCAGAGGGCCGCCAAUGAUAUUUUUAGGCUAUAUUUGAUGCCUUGAAUUCAUUUUUGAGAAUUGAAUGAUGUAGAUUGAUCGUUAGAACCAAAAUUCUCUAAGAUACGUUAAUAGGCCAUUAUAUGAAUCGACAAUUCGACCGUUGGAUCGUUAUCAAACUUUAAUAGGUUAUUAUUCAUAAUAUGUGAGGAAUAUAGGAACUUAAGGAUUGGAAAUCCGACGUAUGGAUCUUCUCGAAUUGGAUUUGUAAGUUCGUAAAAUAAAAUGUUAACCGCCACUUGGUUUUGGCAAUUGGCGGAGAUCCGACCGUUGGAUCGUUCCGAAACUUUAGUUUGUUAUUCUAGAAGCAUAAUGUGGAUCCUUGGAAGUUACGGAUCAGAGAUCUAAUUUGUAGAUCUUCUGGACCGAAUUACGUAGACUCAUGUGCAAUAUAAGUUAUGUAUUAUAUCAACGAGAAUUCUAAGAUAUGGUUUGAUAAUUGGUCACAGGUGCCGAUCGUUUGUGACGCCUCGAUGUUUGUGCUAGGAAGUUGUAACGCGGACUCUAGGUGAGUGGAUCUUUCCUUGCUUAUCAUAUUUUUCAUGAUUGAUAAUUCUAUAAAUGCUUUUAAAUAAAACUGAGAAAUUUAUGCCAUGACAUAUAUAUAUUUAUAUGUUAUAAAAUACUAUGAUGGUUGAGUUUAAAUUUCAACGUGAUAUAUCCAUAUGCGUAUUACUAUAAAUGAUUAUUGCGCACUACGAAUGGCUUGAUCCCUGUUUAGGGUACGUAGGCGGUCUAACGAGACGUUAGAUGCAGCCAUAUAAGAAAUGAGAUUAUAUAAUCGAGACAAUAGCCUUGUUUAAGGAAUUGAGCAAUGUGAGGGAUAUUGGUGAAAAAUGUGCGUUUUAACUUUAUGUUUUGGUGAUUAAUAGUUAGUACACCGUAUUAUAUAAUUGGAAAUACUAUGAAAUGUUUUUAUUUUAGAUUUCAUCAUGGCAUAUCCAUACGUAUAUUCCUUGCACAUAAUUAUUGUGAACGUUCUGAAGUGCAAAGGUGAACGCAGGACACAUAGGUAAGUUCAGGUAAGCUUAGGUAAGUUCAAGUAAGUAUACGGUAUUAGUUGAAUUGAUGGGGUUAUGAUAUGACUACAUUUAUGUUUAAAGCAAUUCCAACACUGUCGUACAUGUUGCAAUAGUAGGCAACUUCGGCAUUGUCGUACAUGUUGCUUAUGAGUCGUACAUGUUGUAUUAGAUGCAUUCAAAGCUUAUAAACCUACACCCUGGUGUUAGUGCUCCCGCCUGUGGCCAGGGCACAAUCCUUCACGUAAUGUUCACCUCUUGCACCAUUCGCUCACCUUGAAUUCAAGGUAGGUGCACAGACCUGUCGUACAGACCAUUAUAGGUGGUUCCGACUCAUAGGUGACUCUUCACGUGAUUGUAGCACUUAAUCGUAUUCAUUUACCCCCAAUCCUAUCGUACAGACCAUUAAUGUGGUUCCGACUCGUGUGUAGGCGUAGUGCCGUAUAGGUCACUAGAGGUGACUCCGGUUUAUGUGCUAGCAAUGAUUAAUGAAAUAUGAGUACAGUUGUACAGGUCACUAGAGGUGACUCCAACUUAUAUGCUAGCCAUGAUUGAUGAGAUAUGUGAUGAGCUAGCAUAUGUAAUGAAUAAGAGACGAGCUAGCAUAUGUGAUGAGUAUGUGAUGAGCUAGCAUAUGUAACAAAUAAGAGAUGAGCUAGCAUAUGUGAUGAGUAUGUGAUGAGCUAGCAUAUGUAAUGAAUAAGAGACGAGCUAACAUAUGUGAUAAGCUAGCAUAUGUAAUGAAUACGUGACGAGCUAGCAUAUGUAAUGCAUAUGUUAUGAACUAGCAUAUGUGAUGAAAUAUGGGUAAGUUGUACAGGUCACCUUAGGUGACUCCAACUUGCGUCCUAGUAUGAGUUAUUAAUCGCAUGAUUAUUUGAUAUUAUUGAUGAAAUGCUGUGUUGUGGUAUAUUAUGAAUUUUUUGGAAACUAUACAGGUGUUGUAGUGAGGGGUUAUAAUGUUUCACAUGGUUUCUAUUAAUACUUACAGGGCCACUCACCUUGUCUUGUCUUCACCCUCCAGGUUUUAUUAGCUGAGCUUUCUUAUCGUCGAAGAUUUGUAGCGAUUCUUAGUAUUGGAGAUUAUUUCGAGGGUACGAUUCUUAAUUCACUCUUCUGUACUUGCUUAUGCUCUAACGUUACAUGUGAAGUGAGUUCAUUCCCGCUCACAGGUGCACUCUGGUAUUUAGGCACUCUUAGGUUUAAAUUUAUUCACAAUCUUCCACAUCAUCACAUUUUAUGGCUUCGUCACCUUCCAGGUGUUGGCCAGCACAGCUCGAUUCAGAGUCCUAGUGGACAUUCCGGGUCGGGUGUGUCAUAAAAUCUAUUCAAUUUUUUUUCUAAUCCAUUUUUAAACUUAUAUGGGUACAUUAAUUAUUUUUUCUUUGAUUUUAAAAUGUAUCCAUGUCAAGUUUAAUUUAAGAAAUUUACUAAUGUUAUUAAGCCUAAUAUCUUUCUUUUUUUUUUGUGAUUUUGAAGAAUAUACCCAUGUUUUGAUACAAUAAAUUUUUUGGUUAAUUUUGAUGAAUGUACCCAUGUUUAUAUAUAGAUACACACACAAUAGAAUAUUUAUAUUUUAAUAUUUUUAAUCCACAAAUUAUGGUUUUUUAUUUAAAAUCUCAUUUAUAUAAACAACUAAAAUUUCUAAUUUUUAAUUUAAAAAAUAUAGUAACGUACAUAAAAAUAAAUUAUCACAUUAAUUUCAGGGACCUUGAUCAAAAAUUAAAAACCAACAAGGUUUUAAUCAAAGAAUAUUCAUAGCUAAGGACCGUAUCCAAAGUCUCCCUUUUAUUUUUGUUUUUCUUUCUCUAUGUUUGUAUUUAUUUUUAUUUUGAAUUUUUAAGCCACGUGGCAUUUAGUAACAAAAAUAUGGAGCCCACAAAGACCACGUCAUCAAACUAACGGAAAAUCUCACGAUGUUAGUAUGGAGGAACCAAUGCUCUACAUUUUGUUAAGUUCAAGGACCAAAUCUAAUGAAUUUUAAGUUUAAGGACCAAAACUACAUUUCGAUCAUAGUUCAGGGACCAUUCCUCCAAUUUCCUCUAAUUUUACACUUAUCUAAUUCUCACAACUAAGGAAUCGUAGUUAACUUAAUGAAGAUGAAUACACUAGAUCAUAAUACUAAAUGGUCAAAUCGUAAUUAACUUUGAUUUCCUUUGAUGACUUUGACAAAUGAACUACCAACCUACACCAUUAAAUAAGUUUUAUUAUCUAAUCGUAACACAAUUAUCUGGAAUUAUCAAAUCAAAAUAUAAAUAUCAAUUCGUUGAAGAUCUACUAAUUAGCUACGAUUAUAUGAUAUCUUCUUCACUUUUAAGUGGAAGAUUUCAAGUUCAGCUCGCAUGAAUGACUAGAAAGUAAUAUAUUUAUAGGCUUUAACAAGUUUUGGUUAGCCCUAUGCCUAUCGAUUCACCCCAGCUUCUACAUUGGAGUCUAUCUAAUGUAGAAUAUGAGUGAAUUGGGGUGUUUGGUUACAAAGUGGGAUAGCUAUAAGGUUAAUUUUAUCAUAUUAAAAUUAUUUUAUGCUAAUGUCAAUAUAAAAUUAACGAAACUCUAACGGAAUGAGGUUUGUGAAAUGAUUUUGAAACAUCAAAGGUUUUUGUGUUACUUUCAAAAUCGAAAGAAUUUUUGUGAAAACUCAAAAAAUUCCAAUAAGUAUGUAAUUAACCCAAUAAAAAAAUAUGAAUAUAUACAAUUGACAACUAAAACUUUUCAGAAAAAAAAAAAAACAAAAAUUUGUUGCAGUCAUAUUUAUAAUAAGAAUGUGAUUGUGUAAAUCCUAGUAGAUCUAGGAAUAUCUCUUAUAUUCCUAUUAUGAGUUGAUUACUUAUUAAGAGUUGUAAUCCUAAAUGAGUAAAAUUUUUGACUAUCCUACUACUAUAAAUAAAGGCACAAUGGGAUGAUACAACAACACCUCACAAUUAAAUCUCUUUCUUCUCUCUUGCUACCGCUGGCCCCCUCCCUUUUUAUUCCCUUAGAAUAGCUUAGUUAAAUAGGCGUACAACACGUUAUUAGCACACUCUUUCCAAAAGCUGAGGAAUUGAUGGAUCAUAGGAAGAGGCUAUCUUCCACAAAAUUCAAAGACUCUUUUUUGUUUUCUGCCAAUCAGGUACACUUAAAAUAAAGGAAGAUAUUUGAAACGUCCACGAAGCAUGAAAACAUUUCCCAUGAUGCAUGAAUCCCUCUAUGUUUAUAUUUUCCUUACGAUAUAUAUAUAUAUAUAUUGUAUAUGUUCAUAUAUUUGUCAAUAUGUAUAUGUUUCAUGCAUUACGCAAUUAAAUUGCUAUCUGGAAUUUGUGAGUCAAAGCAUAUAAAUAAAUUAGAAACAAUUCUAGGGUUUUUCAAACCCUAAUUAUGUCGGAAAAAAAAAGAAGGGAAAAUUUUUACGUUGGGCACUGUGCAGCACCAUUGUGGCACUAUCGGACCAUCACUGGCCUGAAGCCCAGUCAUAUGGACCACACGGCAGCAGCUUUUGGGCUUGCUGCAUUGACCCAUAUAUCCCAAGGCCUUUGGCCUGAUGAAACUAAUGGGCCUGAAGUCCUAUAACCCAACCAAAAGCCUGCAGCUUUUUGGCCCAAUGUCCCGCGAGUCCUUCGCCCUCUAGGUUGUGCCAUGAAGCCUCAACCCACUCGCCCGCAGCCUUUGCUGCUGGGCUUGGCUUGCCCCAACCUGGACCCAACCUCGUCUGGGCUUCCUAUGCCAACCCAAGGCUAACGUUCCGUUGGGCCUGACUCGUGCCCCCCAUUCGGCCCAAAAGCUAGCAGUUGCUGCUACUGGGCUCACCUGUCUUGGCCCGUGGCCUGUAGUCAUAUAUGGGCUGCUUUUGCAGCCAUACCCGAGCCCAUUUACCCCUAGGACUUUGCCCUAUUCUCGGCACCCUAGCCCAAACCUGUUUUUGGGCUAUACUUUUUUGACCCAAUGCUAAUUUUUGACAUUUAAAUUAUUUUAACCUGAAUGUUAUUAUUAUUUUUGCUUCCACGAUCAACCCUGUUUGGUCCCGAUCUAUUGAAUUAAUUAAAAGUGACAUGCAGUCCAUUAAUUUGAUAAUUAAUCCCAAAGUAUUGACCUGAAUAUCACUUUUGGACAUUAUCGAUUCAAUAAUUUAUUUUUAUACUUUGAACUGUUGACAUACUUAUGUAGUAAUGAAGCUCUCACAAUUGAGUUCCCGAAGAAAUUCAAAUUUACUUCACUUAAGUCAGCAUAUUGCAUUUUGUGUUUCUUGCAGGAACCUCUCAUUUAUGAACUAAUCGUUCAAAAAAACUAAAUUGAACCUGUAGUUUCAUAUUUAGUGCCUUUGAAACCUGAAGUUUUCAUUCAAAACUUACCACAUGAAACCUAUAGUUUUCAUGCAUAAAUUAAACCAAUGCAUGUCUAUAGAACCCAACUGUUCUACGAUGUAUGUCUAUGGAUCAUCCGGAAGAUGCUAUUACAUCCAUGGAGAUAUUAGAUUUUCAGUCAGCGCCUAUGGAAGAAUAAAUUAGACAUAUUUUUAGGGUGUUUACCCUUAAUGGCCGAACCUAGUAGGAGUGGUCGGCCCCUCUCCCCUAUUUUUCUAGGUUUAUGGUUUAAUUUUGAACAAAUUUUCCAAGUCUUUGGAAUAAUUUGUUUGAUUUUGGUUUGUUUUGAAUUAUGGAUUGUUAUUUGAUGGAUAUUAUUUCUCGAAUUGCUUAAUUGAAUGAAUAGAAUUAUAUUUAUGCAUGUGACCAAUACAACCAAUUUAUUUCUAGGUAUGUCUAGUGGGGAAAUUAGUUGUCUGGCUGAUAGUGUUGCCAGGCACACCAUCUUGCGUGAGUGACACUAUUUUACUAACUUAAUACCUAAGAAAGCACCUCUGACAACUCUUUUAGGUCCAUCCAACCUCAUUGAAGGAUACAGAAAAGCUAGUAUCAUGUUGUCCAAUAGUAUAAUCUUAACCAAUAAAGAGGCACUCUAUUUUCCACUUUUCGGAAGAAGUUGUUGAGUUUUAGAGAUAUUCAAGAUAAUCAAUAUCAUAUUGAAACCCCUAAAGAUAAUGGUUUUGAAUUUCUUUGUAUCACUUCGUACGAAUAUUGCCAGAAGCAUAUUCACGAGAAGUUGGAACGUCUCCCGAGUGGGUUGCACAUAACAACCAUUCGCGACGCCUGAGUUCCAUAGCACUUUGUUGCUUUGGCAUGACCAUUUGGGACAUCCUGGAUGUGACAGGAUACGUCGUAUCCUUAAAUCAUCACAUGGGCAUCGGUUAUCUCCUUAUGUUGGAUUCCCGCCAUGCAAAGCAUGUUCUUUAGGGAAGUUGAAUACUCACUAGGGGAUAUUUGUGGACCUAUCCAACCAACCUAUGAACCAUUUUGAUAUUUUAUGGUGUUGGUUGAUACAUUGACAUGAUGGUCACAUGUUUGUCUAUUGUCUACACACAACACUACAUUUGUAAAACUCCUAGCACAAAUUAUUAAGCUAAUGGCUUACCCUGAUUAUCCAAUUAAGUCGAUUCAACUGGAUAACGCUGGAGAGUUUACAUCGCAGACUUUUGACGAUUAUUGCAUGUCAGUAGGGAUUGAUGUGGAACAUCAUGUACCCCAUGUUUAUACCCAAAAUGGCCUGGCAGAAGCUUUCAUAAAGCGCCUUCAAUUGAUAGUUCAGACUUUGGUUAUGAGAACUAAAUUGCCUCAAAUUGCCUGUAAUUGCCUGUAUCUACUUGGUGCUAUGUCGGUCCGCCUGAGGCCCAUCACUACCCAACCUCGUUCACUGUUACAGUUGGUUACUGGUACAAGCCUGACGUCUUGCAUUUACGUGUGUUUAGGUGUAUAAUUUAUGUGCCAAUAGUGCCGCCACUACGUACCAAAAUGGGUCCUCAAAGAAAAAUGGGAAUCUAUGUCGGUUAUGAUUCGCCAUCAAUUGUUCACUAUUUAGAACCCUUGACAGGAGAUCUCUUUAGCGCAUGUUUUGCAAACUGUCAUUUUGAUAAGACAAUCUUCCCAUUGUUAAGGGGAGAUAAGUACACUAACGUUCCUGUAGAACGCCACAAAUUGUCGUGGUAUGCUCCUACUAUGUCUCAUUUUGAUCCCUACACUGCCCAGUCUGAAACUGAAGUGCAACGAAUUAUAGAUCUUUAGAGCAAUGCUUAGAGCAUGCCAGAUGCUUUUAAUGAUCUAGCAAAUAUGACAAGAUCACAUAUACCUGCUGCAAAUGCACCUACAAGGAGAGAUGUACCUCGCAUACGUCACAAUCCCGCCUGGGAAGGCCGGACCGUACCCAAAGGUGGGGAGGCCCCACCUUCCAUGCAAUAAAGUACAUUGGCGGCUAGCCAAUCAUCUGCUCCGACCCUGAAGCAUGGUAGACUCCUUGGUUCUAAAGAUUCACAACCCCGGAAGAGGAAAUCGGCACCAACUAGUGACCCUAGUUUGAAUCCAACCAUCGUUCACUCAUUCGUUCCAACACAUGAGGUUAUUCUAGAUUAGGGUGAUGUCUUAGAUGAGAUAAAACGACCUCCCGAGAAUCGUGAGAUUUCGAUCCACUAUGGAAUAUUGGAUGAGGUUUGGAAUAAGAAUGAGAUGAUCGUCGACGAUGCAUUUGGGUACAUAGUAGCUACUGACAUCAUGCUUAGCGAUGACAUUGAACCACGUUCCGUUGAUGAAUGCCAACGUAGAACAUAUUGGUCAAACUAUAAACAAGCAAUCCAGGUUGAACUCAAUUCGCUUACGAAACGUAAAGUGUUUGGACCUAUCUUUCCUACCCCACCACGUGUGAAGCUAGUGGGCUAGAAGUGGGUUUUCGUAAGGAAGCGUAAUGAGAAUAAUGAAAUAGUGGGAUACAAAGCACGCCUCGUAGCGCAAUGUUUCUUUCACCAUCCUGGGAUUGAUUACGAAGAGAUGUAUUCCCCUGUAAUGGAUGUUGUAACGUUCUGCUAUAUAAUCAGUUUGUUAGUUUAUGAAAAACUGAAUAUGCAGCUUAUAUACAUGGUAACCGUGUAUCUCUAUGGGGAUCUAGAUAUAGAAAUAUACAUGAAAGUUCCAGAAAGACUUCCAUUGACUGGUUCAGAUAGUUCUAGACCACGGAACACUCUCUUGAUUAGAUCGAGGAGGUCACUCUACAGAUUGAAACAAUCCCAGUGGAUGUGGUAUAACCAUCUGCGUGAAUAUUUGACAAGUCAGGGUUAUGUGAACAACGAAUUAUGCCCAUGCAUGUUCAUAAAUAAGUCAAAUUCCAUAUUUGCAAUCGUUGCAGUUUCUGUCAACGACAUGAACCUUAUUGGAACUCCUGCAGUGCUUGAGGAAAUUGCUACGCAUUUGAAAUCAGAAUUUGAGAUGAAAGAUUUUGGGAAAACUCGGUACUGCCUCGGCCUGGAGAUCGAGCAUUAUUCAGAUGGAAUCCUAGUACAUCAGUUAAACUACAUCUAAAAGGUAUUGUGACGUUUUGUUGAGGAUAAAGCGAAGCCUUCGAGUAGACCUAUGGUUAUUCGGACUCUAGAUGCUAAACGAGAUCCUUUCCGUCCAAAGGAAGAUGAAGAAGAGGUUUUGGAACCCGAAGUUCCUUACCUAAGUGCAAUUGGGGCUUUAUUGUACUUGAAUCAAUGCAUUAGACCCAACAUUUCCUUUGUUAUUAAUCUUUUGGCUAGAUACAGCAAUGCGCCCACAUGCAGGCACUGGAAUUGUGUUAAAGAUAUUUUCCGCUACCUCAAGGGUAUGACGAAUUUGGGCUUGUUUUAUACCCGCGAAUCUUCGAGUGUUGCUGCCCCAUAUGGUUCUCGAAUUGAUUCUCGCCUUGUUGGUUAUGCAGAUGCUGAAUAUUUAUCUGACCCACAUAUGGCACAAUCUCAAACAGGCUAUGUCUUUACUGUUGGAGACACCGUUAUAUCUUGGAGGUCUACCAAGCAAAUGCUAGGUGCGACUUCUUUGAACCAUGCUAAGAUUCUUGCCCUACAUGAAGCAUCGCAUGAGUGUUGUUGGCUGAGAGCAGUCAUGGAACAAAUUUGAAGCACUAGUGGUCUUACUUCCGUCGUUGACCUUCCUACGACGAUCUUUGAAGACAAUGCAACAUGUAACGAGCAAUUAAAGAAGGAAUACAUUAAAAGAGACAACACCAAGCAUAUAGCGCCAAAGUUCUUUUACUCACACCAACAACAACAACAAAAUCAGAACAUUGAAGUCAAGCAAAUUUGUUCCCAGGACAACCUGGCAGAUCUCUUCACCAAGUUAUUGCCCAAGUCUACUUUUCAGAAGCUCGUCCAAGAAAUUGGUAUGUGUAAAUUAUCUAAGUUGAAUCGCUUGUAGUUCUCUUAUUUAGAAGUUAUGUCUAACUCAAGGGGCGUAUUCAGAAGCAUACUCACUUGAUUUUAAUGUACUCUUUUUCCUAUGAUUAGGAGCAUUUUUUCUACUAGGUUUUUGCUACCUAACGAGGUUUUGAUAAGGCACCCAUCCUAGGUUGAUCAUACUCCGUUAAGUUAACUACUUUCGUCCUGUUUGACAUUUGUUUUAGACAUUAUGCAUAUUUCUCACUUUUCUCCUUAGUAUAUAAGGUUUUCCCCAUGCCUUGUGUUUUACCAUAGCGAGGUUUUGUAAGUUUUACCACCAAUGCAUACUUUCUUUAAAUUUGAGACUCACGUUCACCCAUUGUGCCGAUGACUUCAUCAAUUAUUCUACCUUAUCUGCUGAAGAUCUGAUGUGAUGGUUUGUUAAGUAUUUACACACUCAAGGGGGAGUGUUGCAGUCAUAUUUAGAAUAGGAAUGUGAUUGUGUAAAUCUUAGUAUAUCUAGGAAUAUCUUUUAUAUUCCUAUUAGGAAUUGAUUACUUAUUAAGAGUUGUAAUCCUAAAAGGGUAAGGUUUUUACCUAUCAUACUACUAUAAAUAAAGGCAUAAUUGGGUGAUACAACACACACCUCACAAUUAAAUCUCUCUUCUCUCUUGCUACCGCCGGCCCCCUCCCUCUCUAUUCCCUUAGUAUAGCUCAGUUAAAUAGGCCUACAACAAAACUUAAUUUGUAGAGAGAAAUGUCCGAGCAAAAUAUAAGUAUCUCAUCUCCUUCCUAAGAUAAAUCCUACGCAUCUCACCUUGCUUAAAAUUAUGAUGGUAUACAACUAGUUACUUUUAAAACUUUCUCCGAAGCAGCUUAAAUUUGUAAAAAUCAGGUAGAAACUCGAAAAAAAAAAAAAAAAAACUUUUCACUAAUCACUUCUAUAAAACAUAUUUUUAAUCCACUUUAUAAUUCUCGUAAUAAUUAGUUAGUGAGGAGACAACUAUCCCUGCAAAAGGUAGGCAUUUGAUCUCCUUCCAAGUAGCGAGGGAGAGAGAAAGAACCCAUGCAUCACAUGGGAAUCAAUCAAAUACACAAAGCAAAAACAUGCCAUCGAGAACAAAUGCGUGAUGCUAUCUACAUUUUUUUUUACCUUUCACUUAUGUCCUUCGUGGUUACGGAACAAGUAGUUAAGCAAGAGCUACGGGAGUGAUGGAAGAACCUGGCCGAAGUCAGUGUUGUGUUCAACUCCACGGAUUGACUGCCUUUAGUCGGCUUAUACGGAUUAAUCUUUUUUUCAAAAACAGUCAUCUUCAAUUUGUCGAUUCAAUGGCCGAAAGUUGAGACGAGUGUGUGGAAAAUAAAGGACACAUGAAUAGCACCAUUCACAAAUUAAGCAAAGAUUAAUAAUGUAUGUGAUGAAAAGUAGGGACUAGUAGCUGAAUGCAUGGGUGGUGUUGGGGGGGGGGGGGGCUAGAUAAAGUCGAGUAGAUAAUUGAUUGCCCAUUGAAAUUUAGCUUUUGUUGCUUAUGUGAACAAGGCUUUGAGACUGAGCGACUUUGAUCCCUCAAUUAUUAUUUAUCAAAUACAAAGAUUUAUCUGGCUAAUCAGCUAGUUCCCCGACAAGAUUGAGAAAUUUCCUACUAAUAAAUUCGCACAUUUACAUCAUAUAAUUGUUCCUUCGGUCGUUUGGUUCCCAUCUCAGAUCUUAUAAAAUACAAUUGUCAUCAGCUUACUCUAGAGACUAGAGUGAUUAGUCAUAUAAGCAUGAUCAGCUGUUACAUUAUGGAAGUCUUUAUCAAGGAAGCUACAAGGUGUCUGAAAAUGUGUUUGGGCAUCGAGCAACUUAGGCAAUAAAAAAUUUUAAAAUUAGUAGGCACUAUGUGAUAGUGACAGUCGCACUAAAAAAAAAUUCAAGAUAAUUAGCCGCACUUGUUAAGUUCAUAUUCUCGAAUGUUAAGACCUUAGUUAGGAUUCUAGAAGAGACUAGAAAGAUUGAUCCGCACGUUGCUGCAGGAGUUUUAUGACAUAUUAUAUUUCGGACAUAUGAAUGGUGGUGUUGUAGGUGAUCAAAAGUAUUUACAGUGAGAAUGUGGGACUAUAUUUUACACCUAAAAGUUUCAAUUCAUAUUAGUUCAUAUAGAAAAUAUUACAAAAUGUUUGACCAUCACAACACAAAAAUGGUCAGGUUAAUACAUUCCCCUUCAGCCAUCUUUCCACUCUUUGAUAAGAUGAGUACUUCUAGAUAAAACAUGUUACAAAACUUUGGAACGUUUAUAUGCAAAAAAGAAUCGCUUCCCAUGUUUGCCUCCGUUAGUUAAUAAAAACCCGUUAGAGGACCAUUAAAAUUAGAAGAAAAAUGUAAUUUCACUACAAACCCACAAAAUGUACGCGACCCUGCCUAAAAAUAUUUUGGCGCCAAAUAGUCUUGCAGACAUCUAUUUUGCGGGAUUACAAAUCAGCUGCGUAAUUGUGCCGACGUCGAGUCUUUUGAGUUUGAAAAGCUUUUGAGAUUUUUGGCUAAUAGUUUGUUGGCAUCUUGUUCACUUUUAGUGGAACAAUAUUUGUUCUCAUUCACAUAAACUUAAUCCCAUGUACAUCAAUCAAGGACAUAAUUGAUAACUACAUCAAAGUCACGAAAGCAAUUUCCUUCGAGAUCACAAAGAAGAAUGAGAAUCCUUUUAUACUCUAAUAUUCAAUUUCAUGCAUGGGGCAUGCACUUGUUUCUAGAUCAUCUUUGUGAGUAUCCUGGGGAUCCUCCAAUCAUAUCCGUUCAUCGUAUAUUGUGCGGUCAGAAAUUAUUUUAAUAUUUUUAUUUAAAAUUGAACAUAAAUAGUACCUGACGAAAACUAACCGCACGAUGUACGAUAAAUGGCCACGAUUGGAGGAUCUCCGUGAUCCUUACAAAGAGGAUCUGGAAAGGAUCCUCAUUCCACAAAAUAAUGAGUAAUAUGUUGAAAGUGCUUUCCAAUUGAAGCUCACAUUCAAAUCCAAGAAGUUCUUCAAGAAAGGCAAUGCUCGAGAUGACCAGCAAGGCGGGGAGCAAAGAUGGAAAAAAGGCGAGUCUAGCAAAAGAGAUGAUACCAAAACCAACAAAGGUAAUAAGCCUUUUUGCAAGAUUUGUAACAAAAGUAACCAUGAUAUAGCUGAUUGUUUUAACCGCAGGAAGCCAAAGUGUCAUUAUUGCAACAAAUUUGGACAUGUUGAAUAGGAAUGCAGAUUCAAGAAUUCUAAUCAAGCAAAUUUUGCGGAGAAGGAUGAUGCAAAAGAAGGAAUUUAUUUUAUGCUGGUCAAUCAAAAUCCGAAGAAGGAAAUAAUGUUUGGUAUGUGGAUAGCGGCUGCAUCAAUCAUAUGACAUCAAAUGAAAAAUAAUUUGUUGAUUUGGACACUUCCAUUACUCCCAGAAUAAAUAUGGGAGAUGAUUAUUAUCACCAAGCGUUGGGGAAAUGCAUUGUUCCCGUCCAAACAAAAAAGGGAGUCAAAUAUAUCCAUGACGUUUUGCUUGUUCCAAACAUAGCUAAAAAUUUAUGUGUUGGGCAACUUAUGCGAAAUGGCUACAAAGUUGUUUUCGAAGAUGUGGAUUGCACUAUUUAUGAUAAGAAUGAUAAUGAACAGCUCGUUGCAUCGGUUCCGAUGGAGGCAAAUCAAACUUUCCCCUUUCAAUGCGUUGUGGAAAUGAAGUUUCUUUGAAGGUUGAUGUUGUGCAAGACUCUUGGUUGUGGCACAAAAGGUUCUGUCAUUUAAAUUUCCAGGGGCUAAAGCUUCUCCAAAAGAAAAGCAUGGUGAAAGGAUUACCAGAAAUUGAAGCAACAACUGAUGCUUGUGAAGGGUGCGUCAUGGGCAAGUAGCACCGUAAUUCAUUCCUAAGUCAAAGCACGUGGAGAGCAAAGGCACCGCUGGAACUUGUGCAUACUGAUAUUUGUGGCAAAAUGCCAACUCCUUCCUUAAGCCAGCACAUGUACUUUCUCACGUUUAUUGAUGAUUUUUCGAGGAUGACAUGUGUUUACUUUUUGAAGGAGAAAUAAAAAACUUUCAUUGUCUUCAAACAAUUAAAGCUUUAGUAGAAAAGCAAAGUGGUUGCAGCAUCAAAAUCAUUCGAAGUGACAGAGGAGGCGAAUAUACAUCUCAUGAAUUUGAAGACUACUGCAAAGAUGAAGGCAUUUGGAAGCAAUUGACAACAAGGUAUAGUCCACGACAAAAUAGGAUUGUCGAAAGAAAGAAUCGAACAAUCGUGGAGAUGGCUAGAUCUAGGAUGAAUGAGAAAGGGCUACCAAAAAGUUUUUGGGGAGAAGCUGUGUAUACAACAGUAUACAUUCUUAAUAGAUGUCCAAAGCCGUAAAGAACAAAACUCCAUUUGAAGCUUGGAGCGGAUUCGAACCUUCGGUGAGUCAUUUCAAAUUUUUUGGCUGCAUUGUUAUGCUCAUAUUUUUGCUGAAAAGAGAACUAAGCUUGAUGAAAAAAACCAAAAAUGUAUCUUUCUUGGCUAUUGUUCGAGCACCAAAGGUUAUAGGUUUUAUAAUGUUGAAACUAAGAAAUUGACUGUGAGUAGAGAUGACAUUUUUAAUGAAAAAGCUUGGAAUGAAAAUAAAGUUCAGGAGAUGCCAUGUGCAAUUGUGUAAGAAGAAGGUGAAAUUCCAAGAGAGCAGAAAGUCAUGCCUCAGACUCCAGUAGUUGCCGGAAGAAGAAGUUCAAAUGAUGCUGGAAGCAGUUCGAAUGCAGAACCUGUUUCUCCGAACUACUCUUCAUCAGAAAGUCCUCCAUUAAGAACUCGAAGUUUGAGAGAAGUGUACAAGACUUGCAAUUUCGUUGGUGUAGAGCUAGAAAGCUUUAAAGAGGCACAAAAUCAUGAAAUAUGGGUGAAAGCCAUGAAAGAAGAGAUCAGAAUGAUCAAGAAAAAUCAAACAUGGGAGUUGGUUGAUUAUCCACAAGAUAGAGAUGUCAUACACGUGAAGUGGAUUUUCAAGAUGAAAUUCAAUCAAGAUGGGAGCAUUCAAAAGCACAAAGCUAGGCUCGUGGCAAGAGACUUUACUCAAAAGCCAGGUAUUGAUUUUUCUAAAACCUUUGCUCCAGUUGCACGGUUGGAAACUAUUAGAACUUUGAUUGCUCUUACUGCUCAAAAGAAUUGGUUGAUUUAUCAACUUGAUGUGAAGUCUGCAUUUUUGAAUGGAGUGUUGGAAGUAGAAGUUUACGUUAAACAACCCCCAGGUUUCAUGCUUGAAGGGGGAGAAGACAAAGUUUACAAGCUAAAAAAAGCCCUUUAUGGGUUAAAGCAAGCACCUCGAACAUGGUAUGUUGAAAUUGAUAAAUACUUUGCCAAGCAAGGUUUUUAAAAGAGUCAAAGUGAGCCUACACUCUAUGUUUUGAAGAGAGGAGCUUCCAUUCUCAUUGUUUCCUUAUAUAUGGAUGACUUAGUCUUCACUGGAAAUGAUCAAGAAAGAUAUGAUGAGCACCUAUGAGAUGAGUGAUCUAGGUUUGCUUCAUUAUUUUUUGGGAAUUGAAGUUUCCCAAACCAAAAAUGGGAUAUUUAUUUCUCAAAAGAAAUAUGUAGAAAAUCUGCUCAAGAAGUUCAAUUUGUCUGACUGCAAAACAGUAGCUACUCCUUUGAUGCCGAAUGAAAAAUGAAGAAAUGUGAUGAUGCCGGAUAUCAUGUUUGCUUCAAGUAUGCUUUCAAGAUACAUGGAGGAACCAAGUCAGCUUCACUUUGGUGCCGGAAAAAGGGUGUUAAGAUAUGUGCAAGGCACGCUUGACCAUGGAAUUAUGUACAAGGCUGAAGCACGAAGUUCAAGGCUUAUCAGGUACACUAAUAGUGAUUGGGCUAGAUAUCUAGGAAGAACUAUCUAGUUAGAACUCUCUAGUACUUUGUAUUCUCUUUAUAUAGCCUUUGGCAUAUCAUUUUGUAUCAAGAGAGUUACAAUAAGAAGUAAUACAAGAGCUUUGCUGUAGCAACUCAGAUUUCCUAUAAACUUGUUAAGUAUUUCCAUCCCUCUACACUUCCUACAUGCCAAGCUGAAAUGAAAAUGUCUCCCAAGGUCUAAGUAAAUUCACGAAUCACAUACAUACAGAUACUUGUGAAAGGACUUAUAUUACAAACAAACAAAAUAUUUAGAAUCUGCAUCAAAACAAAAGAACCAACCGGUGCAUGAGCUUUUCUCCAAACGGGAAUAGAGGCAUGGUCCCCAUUAAAAGGGUCUCCGUUGAAGAAGUUAGGGAGCACAACAAUGAACCCAGCAGCUGCAAUUUUGUCUGCAAGGUUCCUUUCGAAGAGAAGGGCAGGUCGCAUUAGUUAAACGUAUAUGACAAUGUGACAAUCUCGCAAAAUUAAAAGUGAUACAGGUAAAAACCACAACUGUUCUUCAAAACAACAACUUCUGGUGUUGGAAACUAGAAGGGCCCGACCAA